UAUACAUUAAUGUACUCUAAAUAUACAUUAAUGUACUCUAAAUAUACAUUAAAUACUUUGUUCAUUUUAUUUCCCUAUGUUAAUUACAUUUUUGUAUUUGAUUGUAUCUUCUCAGCCGUGUUAAUUAACAUGGUUAAUCUGACCUUGAUAAAUAUUGUGGGAAGAAAUGUUCCACUGUUGUCAGGAGAAAUGUUCCGGUGUUGUCAGGAGAAAUGUUCAGUGUUGUCAGGAGAAAUGUUCCAGUGUUGUCAGGAGAAAUGUUCCAGUGUUGUCAGGAGAAAUGUUCUGGUGUUGUCAGGAGAAAUGUUCCAGUGUUGUCAGGAGAAAUGUUCUGGUGUUGUCAGGAGAAAUGUUCCAGUGUUGUCAGGAGAAAUGUUCCAGUGUUGUCAGGAGAAAUGUUCCAGUGCUGUCAGGAGAAAUGUUCCAGUGUUGUCAGGAGAAAUGUUCCAGUGCUGUCAGGAAAUAUGUUCCAGUGUUGUCAGGAGAAAUGUUCCGGUGUUGUCAGGAGAAAUGUUCCGGUGUUGUCAGGAGAAAUGUUCUGGUGUUGUCAGGAGAAAUGUUCCAGUGUUGUCAGGAGAAAUGUUCCAGUGCUGUCAGGAGAAAUGUUCCAGUGUUGUCAGGAGAAAUGUUCCGGUGUUGUCAGGAGAAAUGUUCCAGUGUUGUCAGGAGAAAUGUUCCAGUGUUGUCAGGAGAAAUGUUCCGGUGUUGUCAGGAGAAAUGUUACAGUGUUGUCAGGAGAAAUGUUCCAUUGUUGUCAGGAGAAAUGUUCCGGUGUUGUCAGGAGAAAUGUUCAGGUGUUGUCAGGAGAAAUGUUCCAAUGUUGUCAGGAGAAAUGUUCCAGUGUUGUCAGAAGUGUUCCAAUGUUGUCAGGAGAAAAAUGAAAGUUAAGACACAUGUGCAACAUCUGGAUAUCUUUAUUGUAGACGUUUCGCCAUCCAGUGGCUUUAUCAAUACAGAUUCUAGGAAUAAUAGGAAGACAGUAGAACUAUAUACAAAAGAUGAGGUAAUCAGUCCCUCAACCUUGGAGUUAGUGUUCACAGCAUCGUGGUGGAGGAGAAUCUGAAGCAAAGGCAAGAAGACUGGCGGUUAUAUAGGCGUCAGUGGAUAAGGACGGGCAGCAGACGAGGGCAUAGUCAGUGGUAGGCGGGAUUCCCCAGUGGAAGUAGGUCCUUCCCAAAGAGAUGGGUUAGUUGCAGCAGCCGUGAAGAAGGUCUUGUAGAUGUCCUCUGAACCAAGAUUCCAUGAUGUUGCAGUGUCUGACAAGUUGUGCAAGAAAGGUAUAAAAUGCCGACAAUAUUGUCGGUAUUUUAUACCUUUCUUGCACAAGUUGUCAGGAGAAAUUUUUCAUUUUCUUCUGACAAACCAAAUAUGAACAUUACACAGAGACCCACAUAAAGGAUCAUUAUGACAACGAAAUAUGGAUCCCAGGUUAUAACCUAUUCUGAUGCGACAGACUAAACAAGCAACAAGGGCGGGUUGGCCUGUAUGUCACAGUCGCUCGUUUGCACAGAAUUACUAAACACUUCAAAUGAUGUAGUUGAAGUUUUGGCAGUAUUACAACCCAGGAGUCCAAAUGGCCUGUUAUCCUGAGUGUAAAGGGAGCAAAAUAAACACAGCAGAAAA